GCCCAGCCAUUUAGAGUCACUUUCAUAGAUCUCCUCAAUCGAUUCGGGAAUAUCUGCUUGAAACUGUGGCCCAACAGGUAUUCUCUUUCUGCGCUGCUUCCACCAAAAACCAAUUGCCGACUCUGCAGAAGAACCAGUUGGUACAUCGGCCUGAUCCUCGUCAUUAUGAGAACUUGAAGGUGAUGCAAGAAACUGCAUUGCACGCCUCUUUUU
rnacentral:misc_RNA from 1 species